rnacentral:misc_RNA from 1 species
GAUGAAGAACGCAGUGAAACGCGAUAUUUAAUGUGAAUUGCAGAAUUCAGUGAAUCAUCGAAUCUUUGAACGCACAUGGCGCCUUCCAGUAUCCUGGGAGGCAUGCCUGUCCGAGCGUCGUUUCAACCCUCGAGCCCCCGUGGCCCGGCGUUGGGGAUCUGCCCAGGCAGUCCCCGAAAACCAGUGGCGGACCCGUUACAGGCCCUUCCCUUGCGUAGUAGCAUUCGCCUCGCAUCGGGAGCCAGCGGGCUUCCAGCCUCUAAACCCCCAUCAAGUCCGCCCCGGCGGCACCAAGGUUGACCUCGGAUCAGGUAGGAAUACCCGCUGAACUUAAGCAUAUCAAUAAGCGGAGGA